UACGGAGGGUGCAAGCGUUAUCCGGAUUCAUUGGGUUUAAAGGGUGCGUAGGUGGGUUGGUAAGUCAGUGGUGAAAUCCCCGAGCUUAACUUGGGAACUGCCAUUGAUACUAUCAGUCUUGAAUACUGUGGAGGUCAGCGGAAUAUGUCAUGUAGCGGUGAAAUGCUUAGAUAUGACAUAGAACACCAAUUGCGAAGGCAGCUGGCUACACAAAUAUUGACACUCAGGCACGAAAGCGUGGGGAUCAAACAGG
rnacentral:rRNA from 1 species